rnacentral:rRNA from 1 species
GAUGAACGCUGGCGGCGUGCCUAAUACAUGCAAGUCGAGCGAACGGACGAGAAGCUUGCUUCUCUGAUGUUAGCGGCGGACGGGUGAGUAACACGUGGUUAACCUACCUCUAAGACUGGGAUAACUUCGGGAAACCGUAGCUAAUACCGGAUAAUAUUUUGACCCGCAUGGUUCAAAAGUGAAAGACGGUCUUGCUGUCACUUAUAGAUGGAUCCGCGCUGCAUUAGCUAGUUGGCAAGGUAACGGCUUACCAAGGCAACGAUGCAUAGCCGACCUGAGCGGGAGAACGGCCACACGGGAAGUGAGACACGGACCAGACUCCUACGGGAGGAAGCAGUAGGGAAUCUUCCGCAAUGGGCGAAAGCCUAACGGAGCAACGCCGCGUGAGUGAUGAAGGACUUCUGAUCGUAAAACUCUGUUAUUAGGGAAGAACAAAUGUGUAAGUAACGGUGCACAGCUUGACGGUACCUAAACAGAAAGCCACGGCUAACUACGUG